rnacentral:rRNA from 1 species
GUUGAUCCUGCGGGAGAUUGCUGCUAUUGGGAUUCGAUUUAGCCAUGCAAGUCAAGGGGGUCUUCGGACCACCGGCAGAAGGCUCAGUAACACGUCGAUAAUCUGCCCUUAGGUCUAGAAUAGCUUUGGGAAACUGAAGGUAAAUCUGGAUAGGAAAUAAUAAUUGGAAUAUUCUAUUUCUGAAACGUAAGGCCUAAGGAUGAGUCGGCGGUCGAUUAGAUUGUUGGUGAGGUAAUGGCUCACCAAGUCUCAGAUCGGUAGGGGCCAUGAGAGUGGUAGCCCCGAGAAGGGAACUGAGAUACUGUCCCUAGCCCCACGGGGUGCAGCAGGCGCGAAACCUCUACAAUGCACGAAAGUGUGAUAGGGGGAUCCCAAGUGCUCAUGUUUUACAUGGGCUUUUGCCAAGAGUAAAUACCUUGGCGAAUAAGUGGUGGGUAAGACUGGUGCCAGCCGCCGCGGUAACACCAGCGCCACAAGUGGCAAUCACUAUUAUUGGGCCUAAAGCGUUCGUAGCCGGUUUUGUAAAUCUUUUGUGAAAUCGUUGGGCUUAACCUAACGGCGUGCAGGAGACACUGCAAAACUUGGAACCGGGAGGAGCAAGAAGUAUUCUGGGGGGAGCGGUAAAAUGCUAUAAUCCUCAGAGGACUACCUGUGGCGAAGGCGUCUUGCUAGAACGGAUUCGACGGUGGGGAACGAAAGCUAGGGGAGCGAUCCGGAUUAGAUACCCGAGUAGUCCUAGCUGUAAACUCUGCGAGCUAGGUGUUACACAUUCUUCGAGAGUGUGUAGUGUCGGAGCGAAGGUGUUAAGCUCGCCGCCUGGGAAGUACGGUCGCAAGGCUGAAACUUAAAGGAAUUGGCGGGGGAGCACCACAAGGGGUGCGGCGUGCGGUUUAAUCUAACUCAACGCAGAAAAUCUCACCAGAAGCGACGGCAGGAUGAAAGUCAGUCUAAAGGGCUUACUUGACGAGCCGAGAGGUGGUGCAUGGCCGUCGUCAGCUCGUGCCGUAAGGUGUCCUCUUAAGUGAGGCAACGAGCGAGACCUGUACCGGCAAUUGCUAACGAGUAGUUUACUAUGAUCGAGCACAUUGCCGGGACUGCCUUGGAAACAAGGAGGAAGGUGCAGGCUACGGUAGGUCUGUAUGCCCCGAAUCUUCUGGGCUACACGCGCGCAACAAUGGUAGGGACAAUGGGAUGCAACUUCGAAAGAAGGAGCCAAUCCUCUAAACCCUAUCCUAGUCCGGAUUGAGGACUGUAACUCGUCCUCAUGACGCUGGAAUCCCUAGUAAUCGGAUCUCAACACGGUCCGGUGAAUAUGUCCCUGCUCCUUGCACACACCGCCCGUCAAACCAACUGAGCAGGGUUUAGAUGAGGCUUAAUUUUUUGAUUAAGUCGAAUCUAAGCUCAGUGAGGUGGGUUAAGUC